AAAGCUAAAACUGGGCAGUCGACGAGUAGACCUUCGGGUCUCUAGUGGCGAACGGGUGAGUAACACGUAGGGAACCUGCCCGCGCACCGGGAAUACGCUCUGGAAACGGAGAACAAAUCCCGAUGUACAGGAAGGAGGCAUCUUCUUUCUGUGAAACAUCCUUUAGGGGAUGGGGCGCGGAUGGACCUGCGGUGCAUUAGUUGGUUGGCGGGGUAAAGGCCCACCAAGACGAUGAUGCAUAGCCGGCCUGAGAGGGUGGACGGCCACAUUGGGACUGAGACACGGCCCAGACUCCUGCGGGAGGCAGCAGUAGGGAAUUUUCGUCAAUGGGCGCAAGCCUGAACGAGCGAUGCCGCGUGAGUGAAGAAGGCCUUCGGGUCGUAAAGCUCUGUUGCGGGGGAAAAAAGGCAGCAUCAGGAAAUGGGUGCUGACUGAUGGUGCCCCGCCAGAAAGUCACGGCUAACUACGUGCCAGCAGCCGCGGUAAUACGUAGGUGGCGAGCGUUAUCCGGAAUGAUUGGGCGUAAAGGGUGCGCAGGCGGUCCUGCAAGUCUGGAGUGAAACGCAUGAGCUCAACCCAUGCAUGGCUUUGGAAACUGGAGGACUGGAGAGCAGGAGAGGGCGGUGGAACUCCAUGUGUAGCGGUAAAAUGCGUAGAUAUAUGGAAGAACACCAGUGGCGAAGGCGGCCGCCUGGCCUGUUGCUGACGCUGAGGCACGAAAGCGUGGGGAGCAGAUAGGAUUAGAUACCC
rnacentral:rRNA from 1 species